GCCGAAGUAGCUCAGUUGGUAGAGCGCACCACUCGUAAUGGUGAGGUCGCGAGUUCAAUCCUCGCCUUCGGCU
rnacentral:tRNA from 2 species